rnacentral:rRNA from 1 species
UACGGAGGAUCCAAGCGUUAUCCGGAUUUACUGGGCGUAAAGGGCGCGUAGGCGGCCUGUUAAGUCGAACGUGAAAUCCCCGGGCUCAACCCGGGAACUGCGUCCGAUACUGGCAGGCUUGAAUCCGGGAGAGGGAUGCGGAAUUCCAGGUGUAGCGGUGAAAUGCGUAGAUAUCUGGAGGAACACCGGUGGCGAAGGCGGCAUCCUGGACCGGCAUUGACGCUGAGGCGCGAAAGCCAGGGGAGCAAACGGG